UGCCCGAAUUUGAAGUAGGGUAGAUUGGUAAGAUCAGCUCACCAUGCUAAUCUACUCUACUUCAAGUUUGCGCCC
rfam:Haemonchus contortus, ISE/inbred ISE, WGS project CAVP01000000 data, contig: Hcontortus_28635